rnacentral:lncRNA from 14 species
AAACAGAAGAACCCUGCCCUCAGCUCUGGGAAUUUUGUGGUGCUUCAUUUAUGAAGCUGUGGAAGGUGGGAGAAAGGCACAAAACAACACUGCUGAAGUUAGAAAUGAAAGACCUGCCCGAGCCAGAGGUGGAGGACUGAAGCCCUGUCGUAGCUGCAUAUGUACUGCGGUGAGGGCAGAUCCCUUUUCUGUUGCUGUCUAUGCCAGAGAAAACAGGGCAGCUGCAUCCCGCUGCUUGAUGAAGAAAUGCUGUUUGUGAGAAGUCCAUUGAACCAUAGAAAACAAGAAGUAGAAAAAGAAGUCUGUUUAAUGUUGGGGAUUAAUAUACGGCAAAACUGCAAAGCAAUGGAGGAAACCCUGAAUAUAGGGGAAGAAGUAUUUGAAUGUCUGCCUUCUAGUUCUUGCUGCUGUCUUGAUAAGCUUCAGCAUAUUUUGAAUC